rnacentral:misc_RNA from 1 species
AAAAUAUAAAAGAUGAAUAAUAAAUAAAAUAAUAAUAAUAAGCAUGUUAAAAAUAUUUUAAUAGUAUAAUAGAUUAGAAUACAAAUUUCAAAGAAUUCAAACCUUUUUAUCUUUGAAAGUAUAAUCUCACCAUGACCUAAUGAAUAAAUGGCAAGGAUUGCCAAAUCUCAGACAUGAGAAACAAAAUAUAAUUGAAUUUCACUCGAUACGAUCCAUGAUUAAUGCCAUGAUGGUUAAGAAUGCCCAUAAUUAGACUCCAUUAUACAGAGUUUAUGGGGU